UUAUAUGCAACAUUUGGGCGAUUUGCCGCCGUCAUUUUUUGCCGCUCUACCCGCCCUUAAAUCGCCCAGGGAACGCGCCAUUUAAUCGCCCUUAAUUGCCUGAUAUGAAAAUUAAAAAUAAUAAUUAUUUUCGGAUUCACUAUCUACUCACAUAAAUUUAUCGGUACACUAGGUAAUCACCACCAGACUAUAGGAAUAAUCGAUGGUGAAAUUCGUACUGCACACCAAAACUUACCACAAUCUGACUUUCAUUUAGACUCAGAGAUCUUCUUCCACUAUACUUACACACGAUUUCACAAUUUCCACAUUCGUUGGCUGAAUUAAGUGCACAAAACAAACAAAAUACAACCUGGAACGCGCCAAUUGUUUAAAAAAACAAUUCUAAACUUAAGCGAAACAUGAACCGCCAUGUUUGAAAAACGCAAAAAACAACCGAGUCCAUUUCAGCCGCCAGAAAAUUUGUCUAAGUGUUGAAAUUGCCUUUAAAUCGCAUUCGCAAAUUGGGUCAUUAAAUGAGAGAAAAAAAUCAUGUGAUCGAGCACAAUUUUCCCUACGUUGUGACUUUUGCGUAACGUUUCACCAACGACGAAAGAAAUCUCCUUACUCGACGAUGGAAGCGAAAAUACCACGGCAGCGGGAUGGACUAAAUGCACUAACAGCAGUUUGGAUCACACAAAAAGGAAACAGCUGAUCCGUACAACACUGUACAUGCGGAACAGCGGAAAAUGAACCUAACUUUUGGUAGCAACAUAACAGCGUACUAGAUGCCUACAGUGACACUUCGCUUAUCUACUUCAACAUCACCGUCUCCUUGAAAUAACACAUUUCAAAACAAAACAAAACAAUUUCGCAAAUCAUCCAGAUUGGGCCGGUUGUGGGUUGGUGGCCAGCAGCUAAUUGUCGUCGUCGUCUCCUGAUGCAGCAGCGAAAUCCGGCAGCAAGCAGAUUUUAGUGAUCGGACGGCUGAUUGUACCACGAGCAGUGCGCAGCAGUACAACUCUUGCUAGCCCAUCCGGGCCCGGGGAAGUUGACUCAAUUCGAGCAAGUGGCCAACGGAUUGGUGGUUGCAGUUCAUCUACGACGAUAACCAUACGCCCAGGCAAAAUUUGUUCGUUGCGCAAAUGCUUGGUGGUAUCCUUUUGCAGUUCCUGCAAAUAUUCUGAGCGCCAGUGUUUCCAACAUUUUUGAACGUGCAACUGCAGCUGCUGAUAAUGAUCCAGUCGGUUGACCGGAAUGUUGUGGUGAUCUGGGUCGGGCAAGGCGAGGAUGCGGGUGCCGAUAAGAAAAUGGGCCGGCGUGAGAGCAGCAAGAUCGUUAGGAUCAUCAGACAUUGGCAGUAAAGGACGUGAAUUCAUCAUUGAUUCAACCUGCGUGAGCACUGUGCUGAUAUCCUCAAACGAUAGGCGCGAUGGACCCAACUGCCGAAAUAGAUGCUUCUUGGCCACUUUGACUGCUGCUUCCCAUAAUCCGCCGAAAUGAGGUGCCUUCGGUGGAUUUAGAUGCCAAGUGAUUCCUUCCUCUGCACAAUACGAUGAGAUUUUGUCGAUUUCGUUCUGGUUUU